rnacentral:lncRNA from 1 species
AACGGAAGAGAAAAAAUGGAGGCUGGCCGAAAGCUUCAUUGAAGACAAAAAACUAUAGAUUGAGUGGCAGAAUAAAAAACAAAGUUGGCCAGCUGCUGGGGGAUAUAUUGGAGGGCUGCAAGAGUGAUUUUUAUAUAUAAUACCCAAAGAAAUCAGCAGCUUGGAGGGUGGAAAUUGGAAUCCCUUUUGGGGAUUAUUCAUAUACACAAGUCAGCAUAUUGGAGGCUGGAAAUUAAGUGCUAAACAAGUAAAAUCAGCGGCUAUUUUUAGGAAUAAAAAAGGGACAGCAAGACAUUUACAUGCACAGAAAAUACAGAAUUAGGUGGCUGAAAAUUGAAGAAAACGAGACAGAACUACGCACCGCAAUUGAAGGAGACAGACGGCGAACACGGGAGAAAGGAAUUCCAAAUUUUCAUGCAUUUAAAAUCAAUCUAUCAUUUUGAGAAAAAUUGGAGAAUUAAUNACGGCGAACACGGGAGAAAGGAAUUCCAAAUUUUCAUGCAUUUAAAAUCAAUCUAUCAUUUUGAGAAAAAUUGGAGAAUUAAUCACGUUUCGUCAAAUUAUCGGUGAUGUCGUUCCCCCUUUAUUUGUUUAAUUUCAACAUUAUACUUGGUUAAAUUAUUUUGUGCUAGGAAUUGUGAUGAACCUUAUAU